rnacentral:tRNA from 2 species
GCGCGAGUGGCGGAAUUGGUAGACGCGCUAGAUUUAGGUUCUAGUGCCCUAGGCGUGGGGGUUCGAGUCCCCCCUCGCGCA